UACGAAGGGUGCAAGCGUUACUCGGAAUUACUGGGCGUAAAGCGUGCGUAGGUGGUUUGUUAAGUCUGUUGUGAAAGCCCCGGGCUCAACCUGGGAAUGGCAAUGGAUACUGGCAAGCUAGAGUGCGGUAGAGGGUAGUGGAAUUCCCGGUGUAGCGGUGAAAUGCGUAGAGAUCGGAAAGAACACCAACGGCGAAAGCACUCUGCUGGGCCGACACUGACACUGAGGGACGAAAGCUAGGGGAGCGAAUGGG
rnacentral:rRNA from 1 species